AGCUGCGCGUCGAGCACAUUGCGAACUAUUCUUUCGCCUUUUACUAAAGAAUACCGUGUGCUCGUCGCAAUUCAAGCAGCAUAUGCCAUGGAGUGUGUUUUGUUUAUAAUAAUAAAA